rnacentral:rRNA from 1 species
CACGUAGUUAGCCGUGACUUUCUGGUUGGAUACCGUCACUGCGUGAACAGUUACUCUCACGCACGUUCUUCUCCAACAACAGGGCUUUACGAGCCGAAACCCUUCUUCACUCACGCGGUGUUGCUCCAUCAGGCUUGCGCCCAUUGUGGAAGAUUCCCUACUGCUGCCUCCCGUAGGAGUAUGGACCGUGUCUCAGUUCCAUUGUGGCCGAUCAGUCUCUCAACUCGGCUAUGCAUCAUCGCCUUGGUAAGCCGUUACCUUACCAACUAGCUAAUGCACCGCAGGUCCAUCCCAGAGUGAUAGCCAAAGCCAUCUUUACAAACAAAGCCAUGUGGUCUUUUGUUGUUAUGCGGUAUUAGCAUCUGUUUCCAAAUGUUACUCCCCCGCUCCGAGGCAGGUUACCUACGUGUUACUCCACCCGUCCGCCACUCACUGGUGACUCCGAACGUCAAUCAGGUGCAAGCACCAUCAAUUUGUUCGGCCAGUGACGUACGUACG